UGAGGAAUACAUCGGAAUCUACUUUUUCGUGGGGGAUAACGUAGGGAAACUUACGCUAAUACCGCAUACGACCUACGGGUGAAAGCAGGGGACCUUCGGGCCUUGCGCGAUUGAAUGAGCCGAUAUCGGAUUAGCUAGUUGGCGGGGUAAAGGCCCACCAAGGCGACGAUCCGUAGCUGGUCUGAGAGGAUGAUCAGCCACACUGGAACUGAGACACGGUCCAGACUCCUACGGGAGGCAGCAGUGGGGAAUAUUGGACAAUGGGCGCAAGCCUGAUCCAGCCAUACCGCGUGGGUGAAGAAGGCCUUCGGGUUGUAAAGCCCUUUUGUUGGGAAAGAAAUCCAGCCGGCUAAUACCUGGUUGGGAUGACGGUACCCAAAGAAUAAGCACCGGCUAACUUCGUGCCAGCAGCCGC
rnacentral:rRNA from 1 species